rnacentral:SRP_RNA from 1 species
GCCAGGCAUGGUGGUGUGUGCCUGUAGUUCCAGCUACUUGGAAGGCUGAGGUGGGGGGAUCACCUGAGCCCAGGAGGUUGAGGCUGCAGUGAGAUGUGAUCAAGUCACUCACUGCACUCCAGCCUGGGUGACAAAGUGAGACCUUGUCUCAG